rnacentral:rRNA from 1 species
CAUUAGUGAUUGCCCUAGUGGCUUAAAACUAUAUCCAUUUACACCUGUGAACCGUUUGAUUGACACUCUGUGUUGAUUUUACAAACAAUAUGUAAAGAAAGUCAAGUUAUUAUAACAAAAAAUAACUUUCAACAACGGAUCUCUUGGCUCUCGCAUCGAUGAAGAACGCAGCGAAAUGCGAUAAGUAAUGUGAAUUGCAGAAUUCAGUGAAUCAUCGAAUCUUUGAACGCAACUUGCGCUCUCUGGUAUUCCGGAGAGCAUGCCUGUUUGAGUGUCAUGAAAUCUCAACCAUUAGGGUUUCUUAAUGGCUUGGAUUUGGGUGUUGCCAGUCUCUGGCUCGCCUUAAAGGAGUUAGCGAGUUUAACAAUGUCGUCUGGCGUAAUAAGUUUCGCUGGUAAGACUUGUGAAGUUUGCUUCUAAUCGUCUUCGGACAAUUACUUUGACUCUGGCCUCAAAUCAGGUAGGACUACCCGCUGAACUUAAGCAUAUCAAUAAGCGGAGGAAAAGAAACUAACAAGGAUUCCCCUAGUAACGGCGAGUGAACCGGGAAGAGCUCAAAUUUGAAAUCUGGCAGUCUUCGAUUGUCCGAGUUGUAAUCUAUAGAAGCGUUUUCCGUGCUGAACUGUGUAUAAGUCCCUUGGAACAGGGUAUCAAAGAGGGUGACAAUCCCGUACUUUACACAAUCAUCAGUGCUCUGUGAUACGUUCUCUACGAGUCGAGUUGUUUGGGAAUGCAGCUCAAAAUGGGUGGUAAAUUCCAUCUAAAGCUAAAUAUUGGCGAGAGACCGAUAGCGAACAAGUACCGUGAGGGAAAGAUGAAAAGCACUUUGGAAAGAGAGUUAAACAGUACGUGAAAUUGUUGAAAGGGAAACGAAAUUCAUGAAUCAUGUUUAUUGGACUCAGCCGUUCUUCGGUGUACUUCCUUUAAACGGGUCAACAUCAGUUUUGUCCGAUGGAUAAAGGUAGUAGGAAGGUGGCUCUCUCGGGAGUGUUAUAGCCUAUUGCUGCAUACAUUGGAUGAGACUGAGGACUGCAGCUUGCCUUUAUGGCCGGGGUCGCC